rnacentral:rRNA from 1 species
UGGGGAAUCUUCCGCAAUGGACGAAAGUCUGACGGAGCAACGCCGCGUGAGUGAAGAAGGUUUUCGGAUCGUAAAACUCUGUCUUUUGGGGCGAACGUGAGUAUGGUGAACAAUCAUAGUCAGUGACGGUACCAAAGGAGGAAGCCACGGCUAACUACGUGCCAGCAGCCGCGGUAAUACGUAGGUGGCAAGCGUUGUCCGGAAUUAUUGGGCGUAAAGAGCGCGUAGGCGGGAUAGUCAGUCUGUUGUAAAGUGCGGGGCUCAACCCCGUGAUCGCAAUGGAAACAGCUAUUCUUGAGUGCAGGAGAGGAAAGUGGAAUUCCCAGUGUAGCGGUGAAAUGCGUAGAUAUUGGGAGGAACACCAGUGGCGAAGGCGACUUUCUGGACUGUGUCUGACGCUGAGGCGCGAAAGCCAGGGGAGCGAACGGGAUUAGAUACCCCGGUAGUCCUGGCCGUAAACGAUGGGUACUAGGUGUGGGAGGUAUCGACCCCUUCCGUGCCGGAGUUAACGCAAUAAGUACCCCGCCUGGGGAGUACGAUCGCAA